CCAACCCCAAGGGGCUAACCUUUAGCAAUGAUGGGUUCAACCAGGAACUAAUAACUCAAAUCCAAAGCAUGGAAUAUUUAAGAAACUUGCCUGAAAGAGUAUGGAUAGAUUCCAUUCUGAUUCCUCUAUACAGCCUAAUCACAGCCUCCAUAUUCAACAAUUAAAAAAAUCAAUCAUGUAAUUGAACCAUCCAAAGCCAAGCCAAGAGAUUACUGAAUUUUCACCUUUAAAUUUUCUCAUAAGACAAUUUUAAAUCAUGCCAACUCACCACAUGAUGUAGUGGCAGUGGCAAUUUGUCGAGAUCCAUAGCCUCCAUUCAUUCUGACACAUAAAUUUACAGAAAAAUUCUAGAAGAAAUCCCUCAUUAUUCUUAGUGGACAUAUAUAAAACUUUGGAACCUGGAUUAAUUAUAUUCAUGCCUUCAGGUAAUAAACAUCUCUACCAUACAUAAAUACAAACUGCGUUAGCCUUUGAAUUCCGAUAAUUUAUACUAUUUACGUUUUCCUUGCAUGGAAAUUAGAUACUCCAACUUGGACCUAAAAGUCCAUCUACCUUAAUCUGACCAGUAGUAAACAAACAGCUUCCUUUUGAGAAGUUUUCUCGGAAACCAAACGCUGAAUCAGCAAAUAAGC
rnacentral:misc_RNA from 1 species